CCUAGUAAAAAUAGUCGAAAGCAAGUUACAAUAUUGGUGACAAAUUAAUUGUUAUUUGCUAGUCAUUAGUAACUUACAGUACUAAAACCUUAACUAGAAAGCUAGCUAGUACAAAGGAUGUACAUUAGUUGGACUCUAUCUACAUAUUAAUUAGCCAAUUAAUUACACAUCAUGCAUAGAGAUUAACCCAUUCAUACCCAUGAAUGAAAUUGUUUUCUGGCAAGUAAAAUGCAUUCUCCAAUCCCUCCAUUCCAAAUUCCCCUAAGAAAGGUGGCUCCAUUGAGAAAGAUGAAGUCGGACUAUUGCUCGAUAAUCUCUCGAAACACUCUGUUAACUUUUGUAUCUCCUUCUUUGUAUCACAUAGUUGUUCUUUUAGCU
rnacentral:lncRNA from 1 species